rnacentral:rRNA from 1 species
UUAAGCGACUAAGCGUACACGGUGGAUGCCCUGGCAGUCAGAGGCGAUGAAGGACGUGCUAAUCUGCGAUAAGCGUCGGUAAGGUGAUAUGAACCGUUAUAACCGGCGAUUUCCGAAUGGGGAAACCCAGUGUGAUUCGUCACACUAUCAUUAACUGAAUCCAUAGGUUAAUGAGGCGAACCGGGGGAACUGAAACAUCUAAGUACCCCGAGGAAAAGAAAUCAACCGAGAUUCCCCCAGUAGCGGCGAGCGAACGGGGAGCAGCCCAGAGCCUGAAUCAGUGUGUGUGUUAGUGGAAGCGUCUGGAAAGGCGCGCGAUACAGGGUGACAGCCCCGUACACAAAAAUGCACAUACUGUGAGCUCGAUGAGUAGGGCGGGACACGUGGUAUCCUGUCUGAAUAUGGGGGGACCAUCCUCCAAGGCUAAAUACUCCUGACUGACCGAUAGUGAACCAGUACCGUGAGGGAAAGGCGAAAAGAACCCCGGCGAGGGGAGUGAAAAAGAACCUGAAACCGUGUACGUACAAGCAGUGGGAGCACGCUUAGGCGUGUGACUGCGUACCUUUUGUAUAAUGGGUCAGCGACUUAUAUUCUGUAGCAAGGUUAACCGAAUAGGGGAGCCGAAGGGAAACCGAGUCUUAACUGGGCGUUAAGUUGCAGGGUAUAGACCCGAAACCCGGUGAUCUAGCCAUGGGCAGGUUGAAGGUUGGGUAACACUAACUGGAGGACCGAACCGACUAAUGUUGAAAAAUUAGCGGAUGACUUGUGGCUGGGGGUGAAAGGCCAAUCAAACCGGGAGAUAGCUGGUUCUCCCCGAAAGCUAUUUAGGUAGCGCCUCGUGAAUUCAUCUCCGGGGGUAGAGCACUGUUUCGGCAAGGGGGUCAUCCCGACUUACCAACCCGAUGCAAACUGCGAAUACCGGAGAAUGUUAUCACGGGAGACACACGGCGGGUGCUAACGUCCGUCGUGAAGAGGGAAACAACCCAGACCGCCAGCUAAGGUCCCAAAGUCAUGGUUAAGUGGGAAACGAUGUGGGAAGGCCCAGACAGCCAGGAUGUUGGCUUAGAAGCAGCCAUCAUUUAAAGAAAGCGUAAUAGCUCACUGGUCGAGUCGGCCUGCGCGGAAGAUGUAACGGGGCUAAACCAUGCACCGAAGCUGCGGCAGCGACGCUGAUGCGUUGUUGGGUAGGGGAGCGUUCUGUAAGCCUGCGAAGGUGUGCUGUGAGGCAUGCUGGAGGUAUCAGAAGUGCGAAUGCUGACAUAAGUAACGAUAAAGCGGGUGAAAAGCCCGCUCGCCGGAAGACCAAGGGUUCCUGUCCAACGUUAAUCGGGGCAGGGUGAGUCGACCCCUAAGGCGAGGCCGAAAGGCGUAGUCGAUGGGAAACAGGUUAAUAUUCCUGUACUUGGUGUUACUGCGAAGGGGGGACGGAGAAGGCUAUGUUGGCCGGGCGACGGUUGUCCCGGUUUAAGCGUGUAGGCUGGUUUUCCAGGCAAAUCCGGAAAAUCAAGGCUGAGGCGUGAUGACGAGGCACUACGGUGCUGAAGCAACAAAUGCCCUGCUUCCAGGAAAAGCCUCUAAGCAUCAGGUAACAUCAAAUCGUACCCCAAACCGACACAGGUGGUCAGGUAGAGAAUACCAAGGCGCUUGAGAGAACUCGGGUGAAGGAACUAGGCAAAAUGGUGCCGUAACUUCGGGAGAAGGCACGCUGAUAUGUAGGUGAAGUCCCUCGCGGAUGGAGCUGAAAUCAGUCGAAGAUACCAGCUGGCUGCAACUGUUUAUUAAAAACACAGCACUGUGCAAACACGAAAGUGGACGUAUACGGUGUGACGCCUGCCCGGUGCCGGAAGGUUAAUUGAUGGGGUCAGCGCAAGCGAAGCUCUUGAUCGAAGCCCCGGUAAACGGCGGCCGUAACUAUAACGGUCCUAAGGUAGCGAAAUUCCUUGUCGGGUAAGUUCCGACCUGCACGAAUGGCGUAAUGAUGGCCAGGCUGUCUCCACCCGAGACUCAGUGAAAUUGAACUCGCUGUGAAGAUGCAGUGUACCCGCGGCAAGACGGAAAGACCCCGUGAACCUUUACUAUAGCUUGACACUGAACAUUGAGCCUUGAUGUGUAGGAUAGGUGGGAGGCUUUGAAGUGUGGACGCCAGUCUGCAUGGAGCCGACCUUGAAAUACCACCCUUUAAUGUUUGAUGUUCUAACGUUGACCCGUGAUCCGGGUUGCGGACAGUGUCUGGUGGGUAGUUUGACUGGGGCGGUCUCCUCCUAAAGAGUAACGGAGGAGCACGAAGGUUGGCUAAUCCUGGUCGGACAUCAGGAGGUUAGUGCAAUGGCAUAAGCCAGCUUGACUGCGAGCGUGACGGCGCGAGCAGGUGCGAAAGCAGGUCAUAGUGAUCCGGUGGUUCUGAAUGGAAGGGCCAUCGCUCAACGGAUAAAAGGUACUCCGGGGAUAACAGGCUGAUACCGCCCAAGAGUUCAUAUCGACGGCGGUGUUUGGCACCUCGAUGUCGGCUCAUCACAUCCUGGGGCUGAAGUAGGUCCCAAGGGUAUGGCUGUUCGCCAUUUAAAGUGGUACGCGAGCUGGGUUUAGAACGUCGUGAGACAGUUCGGUCCCUAUCUGCCGUGGGCGCUGGAGAACUGAGGGGGGCUGCUCCUAGUACGAGAGGACCGGAGUGGACGCAUCACUGGUGUUCGGGUUGUCAUGCCAAUGGCACUGCCCGGUAGCUAAAUGCGGAAGAGAUAAGUGCUGAAAGCAUCUAAGCACGAAACUUGCCCCGAGAUGAGUUCUCCCUGACUCCUUGAGAGUCCUGAAGGAACGUUGAAGACGACGACGUUGAUAGGCCGGGUGUGUAAGCGCAGCGAUGCGUUGAGCUAACCGGUACUAAUGAACCGUGAGGCUUAACCUU